rnacentral:lncRNA from 1 species
AUGAAGAACGACUACAUUCAUUUAUACAGUGGAGUUGAAAAAUCAUUAAGAACAAAACGAGGUGUGACUAUUGCCGUGCAUAAAAAACCCAAAAAAAGUUAACAGAUGGGAAAAUAUAGAGAUCAUUUUUUUUCAUCGUAUCUCUCAGGAGCCUAACUACAGCUUAAAGAACCAAAUCAACAUACCUACGAGCUAUUAAAGUUUGUUGGAUGAGAAUUUUUUUUAUAACGUCCAAUGUUUAUUGCAAUCUGUCUCAUUACAACCAAUAAGCAAUACAUAUAAUUAAUGAAAAAUAACAUAGAGGGAAGCUCGCUCAGUGGCGAGCCCCCAAUAAGACAUAUAAGAUUAUAAUUUUAAAAUAAGACAUAUCAAUUACUUAGAACAUAAUACAUAGAUAAAAUUUAGUAUAGUGGACAGUUCAGACAAUAAAUAUGAUUAUUAAAAGUCUAAGAAACAUGAAUAAAAAUACGAGAGACGUUUAAAAAAUCACUGAAACUAAAACAUGAUUAUUUCACCGCACUAUAACACUACACUUUCUUUCUCCAGAUGUACUAGAGGUCCAAAGGGUCAGGUCUUUUUAAUCUUCUUUCAUGAAACAUGUUGAGCAGGUCCGUGGCGUGCGGAUUUGGAUGGCAGGAUAGUCUGGUCUUGUAUCUAGAAUUGAGAAUUAAAGAAUUUUUUUUUACCGAUCAUAAUUCUUCCCCAGAACAUCACCCUUCCUCCUUUAUAUUUGUGAACAAAUCUGUCAGUUUCCGUUCUUGCUUGUCUUCUUCGCCCUCUAAGUACACGAAUUCGUUAAUCGUUAAUCAUCUGAUUUUACAUAUACUACUUUCCUUUAAAUAUAGCACACUUCUCCAAUUUCCAUUCCAGUUUUAGUGUUGAAGACACCAAUGUACGUGAUCAAUCUUGUGCUGCCUGGGUAACUGGGGAUCCUGCAACUUUCUCCUGCUAUAUAGUCCUUGGACUAGGCAACUCUUAUUUUUCUUAACUAAAAUACUUACACGUAUAGCUUCGGAAAAAAGUAAACUUACUAGCACUUUCCCUCUGUUUGCAUAUUUGCCAAUUCCAAUCACUCCAAAAGUCAAAUUUGAAGGUGGGUUGAGAAAAACACUGUCCGGACAACGGGACACCAAAAGGUUUGGUCACAUACUCAUACACACAUACGACUAAGCUAUUUUAGAAAUUUAGUUUGGGGAAAAUUGAUCUUUACACAAUAAACUUCAAACUCAAAAGAAGAAUAUUACACGUUUUGGCAGCAACUGGAAAGAAGUAUAAUAUCUAAUAUCUCAAUUACACUAAAACCCAAGUAAAUUGACAGCCGCCCACAAAACCGGAAUAAUCAGGGUUUGUACACACCUUACCAUACGAUAUUACCAUGCCGUCAUAGCACUCCUGAGCUUGUUGGAAUUAAGAGCCAUUCUGUAAAUUUUGUUGAACGAAUGCAAGAAUAUCAAGAAAAAGGAUGUUUCGAAUAAGAUGAAUCACCUUCUGCAAAGCAACACUGCAUCCAUAGUUGCAAAUAUUAAUUUUUUAUAUGGAAAAGCAACAAAGUGGAACUAGGAAAAGCCUGAUUAUUUGACUUGGCAAAAUGGCGUCCAAUUCUUCAAAUAACUCUACAGCGAUUGUCGUACUGGUGAUACAAUGGCUCUUCAACGAUGUAACGAAGGAAAAAAGAUUGUCGUUACUGGAACGAGUUUAUUGGAAGAUAUUUUAUUAGAUUACAUACAUCUUUAACUGGAUAAUACCUGAGAGAAAAAUAUUAUAUCAUAUCAUUUGUCCUAUACACGUUAAGCGCCAGACACAAUGUUUAAAAAAUGCCGCCUAGGCCAAGGCAUUUCGUCUCCAAGUGAAAACUACAACCAAUUAUGGCAGUAAAAUUCUCUCAGUUCCAUUGCAAAUCAUCAGGAAAAACCAAGAACAAACUCAGGAUACUACCCCCAUGGUAUGCUAUGGUCUAAUUCGGCACGUCAAUAAGAAACCUCCAGUGAAGAUCAUAACGAAAUCCGACCCAAAUCUGAAUUUCUAUAAUGUUAGAAAAUACUGGAAGAAGCAAAACCCCUGUUAAAGGUUCAUAGACUAUGAAAUGUGUAGUAUGUGUAAGACUAUGUGUGCUGUAUGUGUAAGAUAUAUACCCCAUUCCACGAAUAUACGACCCUCUUGGAUUAUCGCGACAACGAAUAUUUUACUGUGCAAAAUAUGAAGACCGAAAGUAAAUUGCAAAUUAUAUUGUUGUUUAUUGGAGUAAUUGUUAGAGCAAAUUACUUUCGUACUACUUAUGUUGCACACUAAAAUAUUCGUUGUCGCAAUAAUCCAAAACAGUCGUAUAUUCGUGGAAUACACCAUACAUUAAAACUUGUCAAAUCUUUUGUAACUCCGUAUAUCAUUAUUUUUAAACUUGUUUAAAUAUUUUAACAAUGUUUCAAAUGUUGUUCUGAAACUAUUUCCUUGUGGCAUUUUUGUAAUCAACUCUUCUAAGCGGGAAAUUAAUAUUUUGUAUUUUGACAACGACAUCCGAUUUGGACGUCGAAACGUUAAUAAAAUCAUUUUUUUUUUUAGUUAAUUGUGGCUUAUUUUCCACUUAGAAUAAUGUUCCAAAUAUUUUGAAUUUCAUAUGUAAAGCGAUACCGAAUUAAACUCUGUUCUGGUGGUACAAUGUCCAUUGCCAGUUCAAUGUUGAAAAGUUUAAAAUAAAUAUAUGUACAUACUAACAAAAAUAUCAAACAUUUAAUAUUUGGUUCACUAUUGAACAUUUUUUCCACGAUUGCUACCGAUUGAUUUAAGAUUUCGAAGUUCAAAAAAUUGAUACUGAAAUUUUUAAUUUUCUCAGUUGUUGCUUUCUCUGGUAACCACAUUAAGUUCAGGAAUUGGUUCGGUAUCAAUAGGCACUAACUGGUUAUCUUGAACUCGUUUGACAAUAACAGCUUCUGGUUAUCUAGUUUACUCUCAUUGUGAAAUCAAAUUUAGAUUAAAACUCAGAGGUGUGUUAACUUCAAUACUAAACUUGGAAUUGACCUCUAAUAAUGAAUGCUAUAUCACAUCUAUCUGAUAUAAAGAGAAGUAGACACUGGUGUUUGUUUCAAAUAUCUGUAUCAUUCGCUAGAUAAUCAGAAAUCUUUAUCAUUUUAUAUUCAACAUUAUUAAACUCACCUGCGAAUCAAACUUCGAUAGCUGACAUACCUAAUAUGUUUAUUUAGACAUUUAAGCAUAGUUCUAAAAAUAUUCUAAAUGUUCUAAAGCAGCGGUUCUCAACGAUUUUGACUAAUUAAGUAUAAUAAUGGUUCUGAUUUUGACUGUUUUUGCGUUUUGUGUACCACCGCAAAUAAUGAUAUGUACCACCAGUGGUACAUGUGCCACAGAUUGAGAACCGUUGUGAACCGAAAUGUGUGAUAUUAUGUUACUCCUUUUGUAAUUAUUUUAAAUAUAAUUGUACUUUAUCUGUAUUUAUCUGUACUCUUGUACUCUGUUGUACUCUUUCUUGUAUUUAUCUCUUGGUAGUAUUUAUUUUAAUAAAUAAUAAAAUAAUCCAACAUUU